AAGAUAGAAGAAACAACAAAAAGAAGAAUUUUUGGAGACAACACCGAGAUGUCACAUGGAAGGAAUGACUGAUUUAUUAAAUGUUUGUUUGUCUAAAAAAUAAAAAAAAACUUAAAAAAAAAUACAUUUGUACUGCAAUUCCCAGAAUUUCUAGCCAACUGUUGAAUAUAUACAUGCUCUUUAAAAAUUCUGGAAGUGCCAGCAUGAAGAAGGCUGAGUUAUUUAAAAGUGAUGUUUGACUUUGCAUGUGUUUGAGAACGAAUUUAAGAUGGUCAUUCAACCCCAGUUAAAUGCUGUGAAUUUGGAAGAACUCAUUUGACCAAAUUUUCCCUUUUAAUGGAAUAAGAAGCUUAGUUUCUUUUUUUCUAUACUUGUGUCACAGCAACAUGUCAACCGGUUAUUACAAAACAUUGGCUUGGUUACACUUUUUCUGUAAUAGACACCACAAUCAAAGCAUAAUUUACUAAUUUAAUCUUAUAUGUGUACAUUUUAUUUAUUAUCCUAUCUCACAGGUCCUACCAACAUCCUGCAAAUUGUCUGAAGCAAACUCCUUAUACAAAGCCUGUUUGUUCAGUCACCAAACUUGCACAAAGAAAGUUUUCUUUUCUAUCAGAAUGAAUUUCUUAUCAUUAUUUCAAGACUAGGUUUUCUGCUUACUGCCAGCUUUCUACCCUGACUUCCUGGUGUGGUCUAAUACUCUAAGGACAUUCUGACAGCAAGUUACAAGAACAAGAAAGUAUCCUGUACUGCAGCUGUGGUUGAUGUUUUUCAAGCUUUGUUUGAAAAGGAACAAUUACUCUUGCUUGUAUUCCCAAGCAAAAUCAAAGUAUUUAAACUGCAGCCAUUAGUGUGCAGAGGAUCUUAAAUGAAUCCAUCAGCAUUUAAAGACCAGUUACUUAAAAGGCCAAUUCGCAAGCUGAUGUGAAAUGUUGCC